rnacentral:lncRNA from 1 species
AGAAAUCUGUGUUCUUUUUCACUUUUGUGCCUUUGCUUUUUUGUCCUUUUCUUUUUGGACUUGUUGGUGAUUCUCAGCUGCAGACAGCUUUAGAGAAUUUCACUUGCUGAAGACACCAUCACCGACUGGUAUUGCAAACGACCAACUUGUGUCUGGACCUCUGCAAAUUAGACAACCAAUCACUCAUCAGUCAAGUUACAAAUCAAGGUAAUUUGGAAGCUUUUGCAUGUCAAAAGCUGUGUCAGCCAUAAAAAGUUAUUGCUAAUUUAACACAAAGA